rnacentral:rRNA from 1 species
UACGAGGGGGGCAAGCGUUGUUCGGAAUUAUUGGGCGUAAAGGGCGCGUAGGCGGUGCGGUAAGUCACCUGUGAAAUCUCCGGGCUUAACUCGGAGUCUGCAGGCGAAACUGCCGUGCUGGAGUAUGGGAGAGGUGCGUGGAAUUCCUGGUGUAGCGGUGAAAUGCGCAGAUAUCAGGAGGAACACCAAUGGCGAAGGCAGCUCGCUGGGACGGUACUGACGCUGAGACGCGAAAGCGUGGGGAGCAAACAG